GAUGAACGCUGGCGGUGUGCCUAAUACAUGCAAGUCGAGCGAAUGGAUUAAGAGCUUGCUCUUAUGAAGUUAGCGGCGGACGGGUGAGUAACACGUGGGUAACCUGCCCAUAAGACUGGGAUAACUCCGGGAAACCGGGGCUAAUACCGGAUAACAUUUUGAACCGCAUGGUUCGAAAUUGAAAGGCGGCUUCGGCUGUCACUUAUGGAUGGACCCGCGUCGCAUUAGCUAGUUGGUGAGGUAACGGCUCACCAAGGCAACGAUGCGUAGCCGACCUGAGAGGGUGAUCGGCCACACUGGGACUGAGACCCGGCCCAGACUCCUACGGGAGGCAGCAGUAUGGAAUCUUCCGCAAUGGACGAAAGUCUGACGGAGCAACGCCGCGUGAGUGAUGAAGGCUUUCGGGUCGUAAAACUCUGUUGUUAGGGAAGAACAAGUGCUAGUUGAAUAAGCUGACACCUUGACGGUACCUAACCAGAAAGCCACGGCUAACUACGUGCCAGCCGCCGCGGUAA
rnacentral:rRNA from 1 species